GGUUGUUGUGAUAUAUUUGAGGAGUCGUUCUCCCUCGGUUUUAUAUGUGGACAUUUGGGACCACUGUUAGAAUUUGGUUGACCACUUGACAUGUGAGAGCCUGAGGAGUUGUUCACCCUCUGUCCAUGUUCGAGGACUUGCUCUCUGUCUGCCUCCACUCUCUGCCUUCACUGUACCAAAGUUUGUCUGUUGAGUCUCCUCUAGUCUGGUUGACCACUUGACAUGUGAGAGCCUGAGGAGUUGUUUUCCAGACACAGGUAGAGCUGGCAGGGGCGUCACCCUGGGCCUGCCCUUUUGGGCUGGGCUUCAGCUGCAGAUCUAAAGGCUGCUUCCAGGGGCAUGGGGCCCUCAGCCUUUGUUUUUCUUUGCUUCUGCACUUUACAACAUACAUCACACCUUAUUUU